AGCUGCGGGAAAUUGCCGAAAGGCGUUUUGCGAGGAAAGUCCGGGCUUCAUAGAGCAAAAAUAACGGCUAACGGCCGCCGGAGGCGACUCCAGGGAUAGUGCAACAGAAAAUUACCGCCACAUUUUUGUGGUAAGGAUGGAAAGGCGAGGUAAGAGCUCACCGGAGAUAGCGAGAGUUAUCUGCCGUGUAAACCCUAUUUGAAGCAACACCGUGGUAGGACAUUAUACGCUUGCUCGGCGUGUCCUUAGGAGGUGGCAUUGAGCAGUUCCGGCAACGGGCUGCCAAGAUAGAUGGCUGUUCACGACAGAACCCGGCUUACAGAUACA
rnacentral:RNase_P_RNA from 1 species